GUUUCCUUCACCUUCAGAACAUGAAUCCAUGUGGAAAUGAACUGUGUAUGGUUUGAGGUAGGGAUUCAUAAAUGAAACCCAUGGAUAAGUAUAAUAUUGUUAGAUGAGGAGAGA